UUUAUAAUUCAAUAAUUAUACACAAAGUUUAAAAUUUAAUUUUCAAUCCCAAAUGUAUAAGUUUGCGAUUCAGUGCUUUAGCAUAUUGAAGAUGAUUGCCAUUUGCGAGUCUACUUCAAAAUGGUAGAACACAAAAUACGCUAACGCGAAAAAUUGUUAACCCUAAAUCAAAUUAUUAUUAUUUUAAUUCCUAAUAUAUACUUCUUAUUAAAUUUUCUUUUCAAUCAGUGUUUUGGCUUAAAAAUAAAAAAAAAUAAUCCGGUAUUUGAAUUUACAAAAUAAAAAUAAAAAAAUUAUAACAAAUGUUAAUUCAAUUAUAUUUUUUGUAAGGAUUAUUUGCAACACUAUUCAAACGCCGAUUACGUCCACAUUUUUUGGAAUUUCUUUUACACUACAGUUGGCAUAUAAUAUCUAAGGCGAAAAAGAAAUCUUCAAUUACAUACGUCAUCUACAGCAGCAAAAGCAGGAGAACAAUGUGUUUGGCGAGUUUUGUGAAAUAAUUAGGGGUUUCACAUAGUCACCAAAUUAUAAGUUAGAACGAUCCGAAAACAUAGCGUUCAGAGUUGUAUUUGCGUAAACGUAUUUUAGUAUGCAAUCAACCAGCAAAUUUUUUAAACUAUAAAAAUUUAUGAUUUUGUGGUUUUACGAUGCUUUAUGACACGU